AGCCGGUCCCGGCUGCGGCUUCUGGCUGCGCGGCCUGCGCGCGCCUCCCGGGCGGAUUCCAGCCCUGAGCGCGACAGCGCGGCGGGGAGCAACGAGUGCUUUACUCCAUGAACUGUCUAAUGACGGUGCUCAUAAGCAGUUUGAUCACUACCUCGAAGAGCUCAUCUUGCCCAUCAUGGUGGGCUGUGCCAAGAAAGGAGAACGAGAGUGCCACAUUGUUGUGCUGACGGAUGAGGAUUCUGUGGACUGGGAUGAAGACCACCCUCCACCAAUGGGGGAGGAAUAUUCCCAAAUUCUUUAUAGCUCCAAGCUCUACAGAUUCUUCAAAUAUAUUGAGAAUAGGGAUGUUGCAAAAACAGUGUUAAAGGAACGGGGCCUAAAAAACAUUCGCAUUGGAAUUGAAGGUUACCCUACCUGUAAAGAAAAAAUUAAGAGAAGGCCUGGCGGCCGGUCUGAAGUCAUCUAUAAUUAUGUACAACGCCCCUUCAUCCAGAUGUCAUGGGAAAAGGAAGAAGGGAAGAGUCGCCAUGUGGAUUUCCAGUGUGUUCGAAGCAAAUCCCUCACGAAUCUGGUAGCUGCUGGAGAUGAUGUCUUGGAGGACCAGGAGAUAUUAAUGCAUCACCCACCCCAAGUGGAUGAACUUGACCGGCUAAAUGCCCCACUUUCUCAGAUGGCUUCUAACGACUUUCAGGAUUAGGGCCAGCUGUGGGUCUACUCCUUGUUGGAGCCCAUCUCACCUGGGAUGCCUGCAGCCAGCCCUCCCUCGUGAUUUGUCUCACCUUGAGUAGGAGACAUGCCUCUCCCCUAUCCUUUUCCUUUCUGCCAUAAUUAACAUAUGUCCUUUUCAGUAAGUCCAUGCCUCUGGCAGGGGAUGAAGAAGUACUCACUGGUAAUUAGCUACCAUCUUUGCAGCAGCCCUGGUAACUUGAAAAAUUUGGGUCUGGUGCUGUUCAUUGAGUCUUUGUGUAACUGCAAAAGCAGGAAAGGAAGUCAAGACUCCUGUUGCCUCGUGUUUAGCAAAGCAGUCCUUAUCCUUUAUACUCUGUUCUUGGGUUUUGUUUUUGUCUUGUUUUAUACCAGGCAAAUUGCUUAGUAGCAAAGGGACCAAACUUAAAAGGUGACAAUCUCUAACUUCUAAAAGCAGACACCAAUCGGAUGCUCAUUAGAGGUUAAUGAAGAUGCCAUUCUUGGUGGCCUCUGCACCCAAAUUGCAUCUGGAAAGAACUAGGGUCUCGUUCAGAAUGUCCAAAAGGAAAUUCUUAAGAGCUUAAAUUCAGAUUUGUGUCUCAUUAAUGCAGUGAACAAUUCAAAACCACACAGAUUCCUUGGCAGGAAGGACAAUGGAAUAACAAUGUUGAUGAGACCUUUUUAGCUUCAAGGUUUCGGAGUCUAAACAAAUGGAUGAUUCAUUUGGAAUGAAACUCACAAUGCAAGUAGAAGGACCUCUCCAAAUCAGGCCAAUUGGGUUAUCCUGGCUUGGAAUCUGGUGUGAAACCAUAGGUCUUAACACUCUGGAGCAGCACAUUGCUGUGGAUAUGUCCAGGAGACCUUAGAUAUGGCUUAAAGGCUUUCAAGAUGAGGACAGAAAUUGCUUACAAUUGCUCAGUUUCUCAACAGA
rnacentral:sRNA from 1 species